CCUACGGGAGGCAGCAGUGGGGAAUAUUGGACAAUGGGGGGAACCCUGAUCCAGCGACGCCGCGUGAGUGAAGAAGUAUUUCGGUAUGUAAAGCUCUAUCAGCAGGGAAGAAAGAAAUGACGGUACCUGACUAAGAAGCCCCGGCUAACUACGUACCAGCAGCCGCGGUAAUACGUAGGGGGCAAGCGUUAUCCGGAUUUACUGGGUGUAAGGGGGGCGUAGUCGGCGAUGCAAGUCUGAAGUGAAAGGCGGGGGCCCAACCCGCGGACCGCGUUGGAAACUGUAUGGCUGGAAUGCAGGGGAGGGAAGUGGAAUUCCUGGGGGAGCGGGGAAAUGCGUAGAUAUUAGGAGGAA
rnacentral:rRNA from 1 species